GGAAGCCAGGACUGUGCAUCACAAACACAGCCAAUCCCAGGCUGCUCUGUCUGUGGACCGUCAGAGGACACUGCCCUCUUGCCUGGACUUCUCAGAGCCUUUAUUUCAUUCACCGGCAUUCAAGCGCUUCAGGAGGGGGAAAUAGCAAUCCAUGAUUCUCACUCUUGGCAAGGAGUCUCUGAAGUUAGCACCCUUCUAAGAAUCCAAACUCUACAAGCAGAGGUUACCAAGCACAGAGGCGUGGCACCCAAGGUCACACAGCUGUGCCCAACCUCAGAGGAUGAAGAUGAUUCACAUUUGAGGCUCUUCAGAAUAAUGUGCCUGGCUCUAAGGCAGCUUCCAAAGAGGACAUUCAGCCUGCUAUGGCUGUGAAGAUAUUCAACCCGAUGUCAUCCACUGUGAGGCAGAGGUUCUGGCAUUUUGUGGACAAAGCAGCCGGGAUUCUGUCACCUCGCUCUGCAUACACCAGCAUUUAAUGCAAGGUGUGAGUGAGGGCAUGUGUGGGUAUACUCAUGCCUGUGUGUUUGGGGGUGCAGGGGCUAGCGAGGUCCUGACAAAAGAGCUUUCUUCUGCAGAUCAUAGAGUGAAACGAUUCCUGUGCCCAAAAGGGAUUUUAAAAACAGCUCGAGAAGCUGAAAGCAAGAUACAACAGACAGUUCCACUCAAUUUGCUGCCUUCAGCCCGGCUGCGUACUGGAAACAUUUGGUCCUGCUGAAGCAUGCUUGUCUGCCUCCGGGGUCAGGGCUG
rnacentral:lncRNA from 1 species